UGGCGGCAUGCCUUACACAUGCAAGUCGAACGGCAGCACGGGAGCAAUCCUGGUGGCGAGUGGCGAACGGGUGAGUAAUNUAUCGGAACGUGCCCAGUCGUGGGGAUAACGUAGCGAAAGCUACGCUAAUACCGCAUACGAUCUAUGGAUGAAAGCGGGGAUCGCAAGACCUCGCGCGAUUGGAGCGGCCGAUAUCAGAUUAGGUAGUUGGUGAGGUAAAGGCUCACCAAGCCGACGAUCUGUAGCUGGUCUGAGAGGACGACCAGCCACACUGGGACUGAGACACGGCCCAGACUCCUACGGGAGGCAGCAGUGGGAAUUUUGGACAAUGGGCGCAAGCCUGAUCCAGCAAUGCCGCGUGCAGGAUGAAGGCCUUCGGGUUGUAAACUGCUUUGUACGGAACGAAACGGUGAGCUCUAAUACAGUUUGCUAAUGACGGUACCGUAAGAAUAAGCACCGGCUAACUACGUG
rnacentral:rRNA from 1 species